ACACAUGCAAGUCGAACGGUAACAGGAAGCAGCUUGCUGCUUCGCUGACGAGUGGCGGACGGGUGAGUAAUGUCUGGGAAACUGCCUGAUGGAGGGGGAUAACUACUGGAAACGGUAGCUAAUACCGCAUAACGUCGCAAGACCAAAGAGGGGGACCUUCGGGCCUCUUGCCAUCGGAUGUGCCCAGAUGGGAUUAGCUAGUAGGUGGGGUAACGGCUCACCUAGGCGACGAUCCCUAGCUGGUCUGAGAGGAUGACCAGCCACACUGGAACUGAGACACGGUCCAGACUCCUACGGGAGGCAGCAGUGGGGAAUAUUGCACAAUGGGCGCAAGCCUGAUGCAGCCAUGCCGCGUGUAUGAAGAAGGCCUUCGGGUUGUAAAGUACUUUCAGCGGGGAGGAAGGUGUUGAGGUUAAUAACCUCAGCAAUUGACGUUACCCGCAGAAGAAGCACCGGCUAACUCCGUGCCAGCAGCCGCGGUAAUACGGAGGGUGCAAGCGUUAAUCGGAAUUACUGGGCGUAAAGCGCACGCAGGCGGUCUGUCAAGUCGGAUGUGAAAUCCCCGGGCUCAACCUGGGAACUGCAUUCGAAACUGGCAGGCUAGAGUCUUGUAGAGGGGGGUAGAAUUCCAGGUGUAGCGGUGAAAUGCGUAGAGAUCUGGAGGAAUACCGGUGGCGAAGCGGCCCCCUGGACAAAGACUGA
rnacentral:rRNA from 1 species